ACCCAAGGGGAGCCGUCAAUUAGAGCCGUGCUUGAGCCUAAGGCUGACCUGAGCCGUUUGAAGGCAGAUCUUCCACGGAGCGCCCCGAUCCUUUUCUGGAAAGGUCAAAGGGACGAGAGGGGUCUCUGCAGUGUCCUGGAUCUGGUUUCAACCUCACCUUCUCCAUGGAUGAGAAAAAAAGUCAUUUGGAUUCACUGUGCCUCGGUGUCCCCAGACGGCAAGGAGGACUCAGUCUUUGGUACCUGGUCCAUCAGAGGACAAGCUUUCAUGUGUUAGCCAUCACCUCUGUCAUCACCAUCAUUGUCAUCAUCAUCGUCCUCAUCACUUCAACACGCUGAGCUUUGUAGCUUAAAAGCAAAGUGCCUUUAACAAUGUGGAAGAUGCCACCUUUGGGAUCAAAUGGGAG